AAGGCUGUUUUGGUCUUUUCACCUCCUGUACUUAUCCCUAUCCUUCCAGCUCGACCCCUGGACCUCUUCAGAUGGUGCUGGUGAUCAGAGGGAGCUUCUCCCACCUCUUCCGCACUCUCUCUCUAGGGUUUUUCUCUCUCUACGAGAAAACCGUCGAUUCGAGCCGAUUUCGCGCCGGGUUCGUCGCUUGCUGUUUAAGUAGACUUGGGGCCAGCUUCUAAAAGGGAUUCCAGCAGCUAGAGGAGAGAUUUUUAGCUGUGAAUUGACCCCCUUAGACCAGGGAUGAUCUAAUUUGAAGCUUGCUUGAGCAGGUCUUUGAGUCUUGUUGAGCUGAAUUUGUACUCUUAGAAACUGGUUUAGAAGCUAUUCUAACCUGAGCGCGAGUGCAAUCGACCCUUGGAUCAAUUUCAGCUGAUUAGUGAAAGCUUCUGAAGGCUUAAUUUGAGCAGAAUUGAGACCUUGGGAAGCUGAUUUUGGGACUUCCUUUGAACUGAUUAGAGCAUUAGUUCGAGAGCCUGUUACAGGAGAGGCUAGGGAUCG